AUUUCUUGGGCCGCUCCCGCGGCAUGUGGAGGUUCCCAGGCUAGGGGUCUAAUCGGAGCUGUAGUCCCCGGCCUACGCCAGAGCCACAGCAGUGUGGGAUCUGAGCCGCGUCUGCAGCCUACACCACAGCUAACGGCAACAUCAGAUCGUUAACCCACUGAGCAAGGGCAGGGACCAAACCCGAAACCUCAUGGUUCCUAGUCAGAUUCGUUAACCACUGAACCACGACGGGAACUCCCUAUCCAUUCUUUAUAUAACACUUUUCAUCUGCUAAUCCCAAACUCCCAACCUAUCCUUCCUCCACCCACUUGGCAAUGACAAUUCUGUUCUCUAUGUCUAUGAGUCUGUUUCUGUUCUCUAUGUCUAUAAGUCUGUUUCUGUUUUGUAAAUAAAUUCAUUUAUUCAUAUUUUAGAUUCCACAUACAAGUGAUAUUAUAUGGUAUUUGUCCUUCUCUUUCUCACUUACUUAGUAUGGUCAUCUCUAGGUCCAUCCAUGUUGCUGCACAUGGCAAUAUUUCACUCUUUUUAUAGCUGAGUAAUAUUCCAUUAUGUGCAUGUACCUCACAGCUUCUUAAUCCAUUCAUCUGUUGAUGGACAUUUAGGUGCUUUCCACAUCUUGGCUAUUGUAAAUAGUGAUACUAUGAAUAUAGGGGUGCAUGUAUCUUUCUGAAUUAGAGUUUUCUCCAGGUAUAUGUUCAGGAGUGGGAUUGCUGGAUCAUAUGAAAACUCUAUUUUUAAUUUUUUAAGGAACCUCCUCCUUAGUUUUUAAGGAAACCACUGUUUUCCUUAAUGGUUCUACCAAGUUACAUUCCCACCAAUAUUGGAGGGUUCCCAUUUCUCCAUACUCUCCAGCAUUUGUUGUUUGUAAGCUUUUUAAUGCUGGCCAUUCUGACAAGUGUGAGGUGGUACCUCAUGUAGUUUUGAUUUUCAUUUCUCUUAUUAUUAGUAAUGGUGAGCAUCUUUUCCUGUGUCUUUUGACCAUUUGUAUGUCUUCAUUGGAAAAAAGUCUACUUAGGAACUAUGACCUCAUUUUAACUUGAUGACAUACGUGAAGACCCUAUUUCCAAAUAAGAUCACAUGCAUAGGUCCUGGGAGUUAGGGUUUCAACAGAUCUUUUGAGGAGGGGGACAUAGUCAACCCACUAGAAGCUGUUCAGAGGGCUGCUGUCAGAUUAAUUUAGUCCAGUUCUAUAGAAGACACUGGGGAAAGCUGGCAAGGCACUAGUCGGCAUUUCAGGGGUACAAAUUCCUAUGUAAUAUUAUAGUUAAGUAACAUAAUAAAAUUACGUAAGUAACAUAAUAGAUGGCAGAAUAUGAAAGCAGUGGUUGUCCCUUAGCCCAGAGCCCUUGGGAUGAUAAUGAACUACAAUUCUUGCCCCUGAUAAGGGCUAAUGCAGCUGAUGUUGCCUAUAGGACUGAGGCCCAGGGAGGCCAGACAUAAUGGGAGCCAAGAAUGCUGAUUUAUGUGUGAAAUCUCACAAUUUUCCAAGCUUUGCUGAAUAAUUUUUUUAAGUGUCAUGCAGGCCAAACCAAGCCCAUCUGCAAAGUAGGAAUGGUCAUAAGCAGCCAAUCUUCUACCAGUGGUGAAGAGCCUUAGGGUCAAGUCCCAGGCUUGCCACUUAUCUUGUGACCUUGGAUAUUUCAUCCCGCAUCUCUGGACCACAUUUUCCUGAUGGGGCAUGACAUGGUCAUGGUCAUGAUCAUGGUAGUGAAUAAUGAUGAAUAUUCCAAGGUAUGGGUUGCCAGACGUUCACUGGAAGCUCUUACAGAGUAGUGUGAAAAAUAAGACUUAGAAGUUGGGAAACUUGAGUGACCUCAUGUAGUUCUUGGGAGGAUUAUAUAAGUGGCUCAAUUUAAAGCCAAUAGAAGGUGCCUGCCCCAACCUAAUGCAGAGUAAUUCUUCUCAUCCUAACUCCUUUCAGGGCUCCUCUCUAAGUGAGACUUAGUGGCAAUUUUAGUGAUUAAAUGCAUGGAUUCCCAAUGCAGAGACAUGAAGGAGAGACAACUGAGUUGCUAGGAGAGAGAGUCAUAGAGUGGAGACCGACAGAAAUCUUCCAGUUUCAGCUUUAAUCCUACUGAUGAUAAUAGCUCAUGGUGCUGAUUCUGUGUGCGAGGCGCUGUACUAAGUGCUGCCAUGCAUUGUUGACAGUCCUCACGUCAGCCCUAAGAGGUAGACGUUAUAAUGACUUCUACUUCACUGACAAGGAAACAGAAGCAGGAACUCCAGAGUUUCAUGUGAAAUCUCCCAGUUCCUUUACAUUGUGGUAGCUCAAUCAAUUAUUUUUCAAAAUCUUGUGCCGUCUAAACUAAGCCCAUCUGCAAACUGAACACAGCCACUUUGUCAUCUUUGGAUAAAAAAGGCUUGUGUUUCAAUGUUCAAUAACUUGGCAAGGUCAUAGAGCUUGAAAGUGACAAAGCCCAGGAUUUGAACCCAGGCAUUCCAGUGUCACUGAAGAUAAUCGCUGGAUUGUAAACAAUCUUCUUUAUGGGUUUCUGAUACUUUUCUAAGACCUUCCACCAACCAAGCUACCAAGCUGGGUGGAAUACAGGAUGCUGACCUAUUUGCACUGGCUGAUAUCUUUAACAAAUUCUCAUGAUGGGAACUGAAUGAGUGGAGAACUGCAUAGAUUUAUUUAAAUGUGAAGGGCAAAGAAGAGGCAGGAAGGCCCCUCCUCAGCGCUGCAUCACUUAGCCUAAGAUGGCAUCACUGAGCUUUUAUUUUCCUCAGUCAUAUGAUAAUUUUGAUUCAUGCUUCCAAAGAAGAGGAAUCUGGUGUUAAUAUUGGGUGUCAUUUAGUCUUAAAAGCUCUUGAUGUGAAAAUGAAGCUGCCCAGUGGUUUUUCAGAUUUAUUUUUAGCUGAAAACCUUUUUUAAAAAAAAUGAAACCUUCCAUAGAAUGCCAGUGAAUAAAAUAGAAUCAGCUGGUGUCCAUUAUGUUGCUGCUAUAGCAUAAUAAUGAUGAUGAAGGUAAUAAUAGCAGCAGCUAAUCCUUGCAGAGAACUUGCUGUGUGCCAGGCACUGUUUGUCCUAAGACCUGACCCGUGAUAAUGCAGCGAAGCCUCACAGCAACUGGAUGAGGAAACCGAGACCCAAAGAUAUUAAGUAAUCUGCUCAAGGUCACAGAGGCCAGCCCAGAAGUCAGGCAGGCUGCCUCCAAGGCCCACAGCCUUUUCCAUCCUACUGCUCUGCCCUUCACUCUUGUUCACUCCAGACAUGCCCAGGUAAGAAGCAGCUUAUUGCAAAUGAGAGUUUCAGUAAUACAGAGCCAGGCCUUAGCCACUUAGGAUUCCAAGUCAUGUUGAAGCCAGAGUUUGAUCUGGCUAUCCACAGGGACUUCAUCUGUGGGAAAUGUCUCUCCUAGUUGACAGUUAUUAGGCCUGUCUCUGUGCCCCAGGCUUAGCUAAUCUGUCUCUGAGGUGCUUCAAAGGGUCUUUCAAAGAGAUAGUCAUGUCUUCCUCAAAGAGUUAAUUAGAAGUCAAAAUAUCCCAAACAUUACUCUCCAAAUUUGGUCCAGAGUGAUUAGAGACAAGCAGCCCCCAAUCCACUGGAUUUAUGUAAAUAAAAGAGGACCUGUGCUGAUCCCAGGAAGGUGGGGCUCCAGCAGCACCCUGUGAGGCCCCUUCAGGGAACCUUAGACUCCAGGAACCCAGUCAGAAGCCAUGAUUCUAGCUGGCAACAAGCUGCCUGCUCUCUGAUUUGCCUGGGACCAAACAGAAGGUAUUUACUUUGCAUGGCCAGGGCCAUGGCACCAUUAGCGAUAGAUUAAACCUCUCUGGAGCUUUGUUUUUUUGACCCUUUGAUGAUAAAGUGUAACUUUUAAGUUAAACAUGGAUCUUAAACAUGAAGCUUCUAGAGGGUUGAACCAGCACAGAUAUCUCAACCUUGGCAUUAUUGACACCUGGAGCUGGCUGAUCCUUUGCUGUGGGAGCUGUCCUGGGCAUUGCAGGAUGAUCAGAAGUAUUUGUGGCCUCUACCCACUCCAGGUCACUAGCAUGACCCUCCCCUUCCUCAGUUUGUGACAGUCAAAAAUAACUCCACACAUUGGCAAAUAUCCCCUGGAGAGUAAAAUAAAUCCCAGAGAGAACACUGACCUAAGCGGUUUCAGACAUACCAUUCAGGUAUGGUCCUAUCAUCCUUGUGAUAUUUUAGUUUAACCCAAUAUAUUUUCCCUACUGCUAAACUUGUCCAUGGUCCACAGGUCCUAGUUCAUAGGUUGAGGCCAACAUCGUAGCAGUUUUCCAUCAAUUCCAGUUGUUCCUGGCUACUUGACCUCAAGUCAGUUACCAAAAACAUAGUUAAUCAUCCUGCCCAGGCUGCCCUCUCCACCACCUUCUGUCCCCAUACCUCCUCUUCCCACAGAAGUGGAACUAGAAGACAAAUGAAAAUAAUGUCAAGUGUCUUAGCUAAAGCAAUGUAACUCAUUCAGUCAGGCUUUCUCAUAUCAAGGCACAUCUUUCUUUCUUUCUUUCUGGCCACACUCGCAGCAUGCAGAAGUUCCCAGUCCAGGGAUAAAACCCACACCAUAGCAGCAGCCCAAGCCACAGCAGUGACAACACCAGAUCCUUAAUCUGAUGAGCCACCAGGGGGCUCCUAAUUUAUAUUUUUUAAUUGUCUUUUUCUUAUCAAUUUCAUCCAGUAAUUACUACUUAAUUAUUUAAGGGCUUAAGUCACACCCUGUAUGUAUGAGUGAAUGUUAAAAGCCUUGAACCCCAUAAUCUGGAAAAAGCCUAGAUUUGAACCCCAGCACAUCCAUCCCUCCUCUUGUUUCAGGACUGUGGGUACAUUUCUGAAAUUCUUAGCUGCAGUUUUAUUACCGACAAAAUGGGGAGAGCCGCACAUGGUGCUUAUGAGAAUUUAAUAAAAUACAUAUGUGAAGUGUUCAGCAAAUUGCUGUGCAUAUAGCAAGCAUUCAGUACAUGCUCUUUCCACUCUCAUCAUCAUCAUGAUAAUUAUUUUUAAUGAUCACUUCAUUCCCUUUCCUCCUACUUCCACUAGAAGUAUCUGGAAGUAAUGACUUGGGGCAGCUGGGGGAUUGCUUCAGGACUUUGGGAGAAAUAAACAUGUUUAAAAAGCAAUUAAAACUUAUCCCAUCAUACCUUUCUAUCACUCUGAGAUCACCAGCCGAGCUGGUCAUAAGGACAUCUACAGUGAACUCAGUCCCAAAAGACCCCCUGAAGGCCCCUUCAAAUUCUCUUCCUUCUUUGUUUUCCUAGGUAUCUACAUAGCCCUCCUCCUCCCUCCACCUUUCCUUUUCCAAAAGUAGCUCCUGCCAUCAUUUGAAGUGGCUACACUUAAGUUCAGAGUGACAGGAAAGAGAUCUUGUUUCCUUGGUGAUAUUUAUUUGCUCAGCAGGUGAAAAGCAAAGACUUGCCAAAAAGAGGUGAAUCUCUGGUGCAGCCCAAGUAGCUCUUGCCCUUUUCUCAUUGCUCAAUAAAUAGGCCUGAAAAUAAUGACUAUUUAGGUGACAAUAAAGGGGUCUCUCCAGAACAGUGUGUGAAAAGAGCCCAGCCUUAGCAAUUAGGAGACCAGAUCUAAGUUCCCAGAUCUGUCCCUAAAUGUUAAGCUGUUUUGAGUGACUGUCUCAACUUCUGUAGCCUACUCUCUUAGGCUAAAAUGGAGUUCAAUGUUAUUUGCUCCUAAUUGCUUAGAAAGAAAGUGAAAGGCUCAACUGAGCUUUAGGAAAGAAAGGAAACUUGAAAAAUGAAAAGUGCCAAGCAGAUUUAACUACUAAUAAUUGUCCCAUUCUUUGCAUCCAGCUGCUGUUAUGGUUACGUUUGACCCUGAUGGUCGCACUUGACAAGCUCACUACACAUGGGCUCUUCUAGCACAUUCCUAGACAAGGAGGCACGGCCGUCAAUUGUUGCUGAAGGAAACUCAAGGCUGAGUCACGACCCAAGUUUCCGAUCUCAGUCUAGUUUCUUGUCAGUCAUGGAAUAGGAGUGAGACUGCAUCUACCCUCCCCAUGGACCUUGUGGGGAGGCUGGAUAUACUGACUAAUGGAGUUCACAAAAUAGAGGCAUUAGAUGAUUCUGUGUAGCCAUUCUGUUGGCUAAAUCUAUGGAAGCAUUCCUUCAGAGCUAUUUGUCUUUCCUCUCUUUUCCAGCUCUUCAGGGUAAAAGAGUGUUGAGCUGCUGACAGCUGGUGAUGUGCUUACCCUGUGAACAGUUCAUAAAGCGUGACUGCCUCCAGGAGAGCUGUUUGUACAAGCCAGGGAGAGGGCUUAGUCCACUAAUGGAAGCAGCCGAGAUUGCCUGCAAAAUAAACAUGCAGCUUCUUAAAGAUCAUUACAGUACAUCAAAUAGCUCCCUGAUGAAGGCUGGGGCACAGGAAGUGGGGACUGGGGAGGCCAUUUCCAUUCCAUGAGUUUAUAAAGUCCGUUAGAGAGCCAUCAAGGGAUGGUGACCUUCCAGAGCAGAUCAGUGACACAUCAGGGAUAGAGGUCAGGUGAAGGUCUAAAGACUUUCACCACUGCUCCUCCUCCCUAUAGAACUCAUCUGGGAAAAUGUGACUAGUGCAGAAACUCUUGAUAUCCCUGGGCUUCCUGUAGCUGGCAAUCGCUGAUGUUAUUAAGUCAUGUGAGGACCAGCAGUGCCAAAGUACCAUUGCCUAAUUCAACAUUUGUUUGCAUUUGAGCCAUAGGCCAUUGCUGUACUGAUUAUAGAAGGGAAGAAAAGUCAGUGUACUAGGAUUGUUUAGUAUUAGGACAAAAAAAAAAAAAAAAAAAAAAAAAGAAAAACCCACUAGCCCUUCAGAUAUUUGAAAGAACUCACAAAGAGAAGAUGACAUUUUUUCUUUUUCUUUUCUAUUUUUUUAGAGCUGUACUUGAGGCAUAUGGAAGUUCCCAGGCUAGGGGUUAAAUCAGAGCUGCAGCUGCUGGCCUACACCACAGCCACUGCAACUCAGCCUCCAAGAUGCUUCUGCAAGCUACACCACAGCUCAGAGCAAUGCUGUAUCCUUAACCCAUUGAGCUAGUUGGGUUUGUUGCUCCUGAGCUACAACAGGAACUCCCAAGAUGACAAUUUUUCAACAUGGCUCCAGUGAGAGCAGAGCCAAGGCCAAUAAGUGGAGGUCAUGGCGAAAUGGCCCACGUUUGGAAGAGUGACAUGUUUUUUGAGGUCACAAGUUACCCCCUUGAGGUGUCCAGGCAAGAGGUGGUUUAUGGACUAAUCUGUGGAGCCUCAGAGUUCUUUUGAAGUUCAAUAAAGUCACAAAGUCACAGCAUAUGUAGAAAUUAGCUUUCAAGCUGGCCCUGAAUAAAAAUCACAUAUGGUCAAAAUUACUUUUGAGAAUCCUUUAAAUUGUGCAUAAAAAUCUAUAUGCAGAUAUGAUUUCAUUUUUCUCCCCAGACAGUUAAAGCUGGAUUUCCUCCAGGGAACAUGUUGAAAAUGGGGGGGUUUUGCCCUGGAAUUACUUUCAGUGGGGUUAGAUGCUUGAGGAUUGGAUAAAUCACAGCCACUCACCUCUCUCAUCAGGACAUGUGCUCAGGGAAUGUGUGACAUGGUGGGAAGAACCACCUACAUUAUUUAAAUUAAUGUACAUCAUGUGUACAUGACUGUGUAGUGCAUAUGGUUGAGUAUGCCAAUUUAAAAGUAGCUAUGCUGGAAUUCCCAUUAUGGUUCAGCAGUAAUGAACCUGACUAGCAUCCAUGAGGACAAAGGUUCAAUCCCUGGCCUUUCUCAGUGAGUUAAGGAUCCAGUGCUGCCAUUAGCUGUGUUGUAGGUCACAGAUGUAGCUUGGAUCUGGUGUUGCUGUGUCUGCGACAUUGGCCAGCAGCUGCAGCUCCAAUUUGUCCCCUAACCUGGGAACUUCUAUAUGCUGUAGGUGCAGCCCUUAAAAAAAAAAAAA
rnacentral:lncRNA from 1 species